rnacentral:rRNA from 1 species
CCUACGGGCGGCUGCAGUAAGGAAUAUUGGUCAAUGGACGCAAGUCUGAACCAGCCAUGCCGCGUGGAGGAUGAAGGUCCUCUGGAUUGUAAACUUCUUUUAUUUGGGAAGAAACCCACGAUUUCUAUUGUGGUUGACGGUACCAGAUGAAUAAGCACCGGCUAACUCCGUGCCAGCAGCCGCGGUAAUACGGAGGGUGCAAGCGUUAUCCGGAUUCACGGGGUUGUAGGGGUGCGGGUGCGUGAAGGGUGAAAUCCCCGAGCUUAACUUUGGAACUGCCGUUGAUACUAUCUGUCUUGAAUACUGUGGAGGUAAGCGGAAUAUGUCAUGUAGCGGUGAAAUGCUUAGAUAUGACAUAGAACACCUAUUGCGAAGGCAGCUUGCUACACAGUCAUUGACGCUGAGGCACGAAAGCGUGGGGAUCAAACAGGAUUAGAUACCCCGGUAGUC